rnacentral:rRNA from 1 species
GAUGAACGCUGGCGGCGUGCCUAAUACAUGCAAGUCGAGCGAACAGACGAGGAGCUUGCUCCUCUGACGUUAGCGGCGGACGGGUGAGUAACACGUGGAUAACCUACCUAUCAGUCUGGGAUAAUUUCGGGACACCGGAGCUAACACGGAAAAAAAUUUUGACCCACUGGGUUCAUUGUGAAAUUUCGUUUUUCUUGUGUCUAUUGGUGGGUUCGCGCCGCAUUUGUUAGAUUGUUAGGUAACGGCUUACCAAGGGAAAGAGGCGUUGCCCACCGGAUAGGGUGAUCGGCGACACGAGAACUGAGACACGGUCCAGACUCCUGCGAGAGGCAGCAGUAGGCAAUCUUCCGCAAUGGGCGAGAGCCUUACGGAGCGACGCCGCGCGUGUGAUGAAGGUCUUCGGAUCGUAAAACUCUGUUAGUAGGUAAGAACAACUGUGUAAGUAACUAUGCACGGCGUGACGGUACCUAAUCAGAAAGCCACGGCUAACUACGUG